rnacentral:misc_RNA from 1 species
GUCCGGUUCAAACUUAUGAAUCAUUGUCCGUUCUGGUCUUCAAUUUGACCGAACUGGUUCUGAUCCGAUUUCAAACUCAAAUCAGACCUUGGCCGGAUCUAGAUAGGGUAGCCUCACUUGGGAGAGGCAGAAUUUGAACCGGUUCUAGCACAUGUCAUCCUAAGCUAAUAGGGGUUAUGGGUAGCCAUUGAAAUAAGCAUGAACACUUUAGUUAAGCAAUGCACAUUACACACUAGACUCACUUGAUAAUUAAAAGAAAAUUAAAAACAAGAAAAUGGUUUUUUCUUUUUUUAAUAAU